rnacentral:lncRNA from 1 species
AUAUCCCUUCCAUACUAUGGAGUAUGAAAGAAAAUAAUAUUUCUUACGAGUAUUGAAAUAAAAUAAUAUCCUUUACCUUAGUAGAAACUGGAUUUGACUGGAAUAUCGGAUAUUAUUCUGAGCAAAUCUUGCAGAAAACUACACUUAAAGUAUCCUUAUACUCAAGAAAAAAAUACUCACAAUACGAUAGAAUAAGAAUUUCUGAUAUUGAAGUGGUGUGUUUUUGGAAGGAGGGGUUACCUCCUAUUUAUAGCAACGGAGGGAGAGAAACGAAUUUGCCUAAUUUUUCUCCUGCCAAACUUUUGCCUAACUCUUCUUAUUUUUCCAUAGCUUAGGGCCCACUCUUUGAAAGCAAGUUUUGCAAAUUAAGUCUUUGGUGGAGUAUAUUUCAAAGCCUAACUUCACCAUUAUCAAUAUAGGUGAGGGUCCACAAAAUUUAGGAAAACAAAUGCUUUGCAGACAAUAUUCUCCACCAACCAUUUCCACCAACCAAAUAACUUAACAAUUUUGAAAAGAUGUAUGCAAAGAAUUCAAAACCAAUUAUAUAACCUCCAUCCAUUAAUUCACAUGCUGCAAUUAAUGAAUUUCAAUAUUAUUCCCACCAACCCCUAUAUAAUGCUAAGGUAAAUAGGCACCAAAUUUAUUUGUCAAAAAGGUGGGCUAAUCACAAAGUUAUUUAUAUUAUCACAUUAUACUAUUAUAAUGUAAUAUUAUAAUAUUAUAUUUAACUGGAUAUUUAUCGGGGAAGAUAAUAUAUCAAACUUUCAAC